AGUGUUACGUAUGAUUUGUUUCCUAAUUAAUGUCCGAAAUAAUUCACAUGAACAGUUCACGUUAAUCAAUAUCAUUACCUAUGAUCAAUAACACUAUUUAAUCACACGAGCAUGCCACGAUAGUCUCUUGCCCUUCCUGCACCUGAGACAUCCGAAUGAAUGGACACUCUCCUCUAAAACUUCCUGUUACAAGUAAACAUUGACAGGCUGCAAUUCACACGAGUCUAACAUGAGGUCAAAGGACACGCACAUGCACGUGUCGAAUAUGAGGUCAAAGGACACACACAUGCACUUGUCAGAACGAUGAUGCGUGAAUGUAACUCUCUGUUCACUUACUUCCCGUUUCUCUUAACGCCAACGUUUCAUUUCGUCGUCGUUGACAUCUGCAAGAUGACCAUGACGCAAAGAGGAAGCGUGGGAGUGUGUCACUGUUCCGUGACCGAGAUUAAAAGCCAUGCGAUGACCUCAAAAUGACCUUCAUACAGACUGGGACAUGUUCGUCAGGUCAGGACAUCCUCCACGUCUCGUUGGACCGACUGCUUCUUCCACUUGCUGUUCCCCUCGACGUGAUUUAGCCAAACAGGUGGAGUUUCUCCCAAAUGGCUGCUGCCGAACACUUCCUGGUGCACCUCCAACGACAUCUGACUGUGCCUCAUGCCAAUUAUCUCCAGUAAGCCUUCGGCCUGAUUCUGAAGUGUCUGGAUGGACUGGAACAGACACAAACAUUUUCAGAUGCCCGAUCUGACAAGUCCUUCAUCAAGUUCUCUGAUGGCAGAACACAAGGAGGCAGUCAGAGUGGCACCCACCACAAGUCGCCUUUCCGCUUUGAGGGUGCGCACGGCUGAGCGCAGGAUUUGCGGGGGUAACGUGCGUCGCUUCCGCGCCAUCUCCACGAUAGCGUCGUCCAUUCGCUUCUCCAGCUCAGGCAGCUCGUCCUCAUCUGGGAGAGAGGAGACAUUUUAGUGCGCCGGAUGGACGACGCUGCACCUGGCACUGGUCACCUUGGUCAAGUGGAGCCUGCUCCCACGUUUGUCCGUUCACCAACACAUUGGCAUGAACAGCAGCCUCAAAGUCCUGCACAGAAAAUAAGUCGCAUUCAAAACGAGAAUGAAAGGAGAAUUUAUCUUGUCAAAUAAAUACACAUCAUAAAUAA